ensembl:lincRNA 4933424H11Rik RIKEN cDNA 4933424H11 gene
CUUUUUAAAUAUUUAUUUUUCUUUUACAUUCUUUGAAUUCUGUUUGUCUUCUCUUUCUAGUUUCAUGCAGUUGAAGUUUGAAAUAUUAAUUUAAAAGUUUCUUCUUUCCUAAAAUAUACAUGGCUGCUAUAGCUUUCCUCUAAAUUACUAUUUUUACUGUACCCAACAUAUUUAUUUUGACUCUUCAAUUUAACUCAAAAUAUUUUAAUUUCUAUCUCUAUUUUUUUCAGUGAUAAAUAAGGUCCUUAAAAGCAUAUUGUAUAAUCUUCACAUUUUCUUCAUCUUACAGACAAAUUUUAUGUUAUUGAUUUCCCAUAGAAUUUCACUGUGGUCUGGAAGCAGAUAGGACAUUGUUUCUAUAAUUUAAAACCAGUCAAUGUUUCAUGGUUUUUCUGGUUAUGAUAACUAAUAAUGAUUGUCAACUUCAUUGGUUUUAGAAUUACCUAGAAGGCUGACUUCUGUGUGUGCUCAUUAGAGCAUGUCCAGAGAGUUUUAUUGUCGUUUUAUGUUUAAGACAGGGUCUUACUACAUAUCCCCAGAUAACUUGAAACACAAUAUGUACACCAAGAUUUUGCUGACCUUAUAGAAGUCCACCUGCCUCUGCCUCCAAAGUUCUGGGAUUAGAUGGAUGCUACCAUGCCCAACUUCCUGAGAGGUUUAACUAGGUCGAGAAGCCCCUCUCUGAAUGGAGGUAGUAAUAUCCAUGGGGGUAGGAUCUUAGGCAGAAAAAUGGAAAAGGAGAAUAUUAAAAGAGAAUAAUUUUUGUUUCCCUCACUGACUGAAAGUACAAUAUGACGAAAUCCCUCAUAUUCUCACUGUCACACUUUACGUCCAUUUCAAUAGGCUACAUCCUGGGCCACUAUGGACUAUGCUCACAAACUGAGCCAAAUAAUCCCUUCCUCAUUUAUUUUCAUCAGGAUUUUAUAAUAGUGAUGUCAGGUAUAACAGAAUAAAUGUAUCGAAAAGAGUCACUGCUGUAAUAAGAUUUACAUUGUGUUUCUUCAUCCUUUGGAACUGGAUUUUUGGAGGAAUGUGUAAGAGCCUAGACCUAUAGGUUAAAGAAAUCCUAUAAGCAGACAUUAAUAUUCAAUUUUAGUGGGAAUUUGGAAGUCCAGAUUGCUGAGAAAAAUGCUCAAGGAUUGGUGGGAUUUCAUGCCGAUGGGUUGGUGGGAUUUUAAGCUCAGAGAUUGGUAGGAUUCUGUGGCAAGCUCAGGGAUUGGUAGAAUUCUGUUUCUUGGCCUUGGUCUUGGGCUUGGGGUCAAUUUGGGCUCAGGAUAUUCUUCUUUCCCUAGCCCUUUUACCCUACAAGUAGCAUCUGUUGGUUCUUUUUGCCAAUAAAUCAAAAUAAUAGAAUAUAAAAUUGAUUAAUAUAGUCUUUGGUAUUUUUCCCUUGAAACUUCAACAGUAAAAGUAUUUAGAAAUACUUGCUAAAGUGCAAUUAAGUAUGGUUAAUGGCAAAUGAAUCAUCUGGGAUUUCAAAUUGUGAAAAAUCUGAAAACAGAGAGGUUUAAAAUGUUGCUGAUUCACAAACUCAAUUCAGCACUUGCCUGAAUAUCCUGGAAAUGAACCUAGAUUCUUUGAACAAACGAUGACUAUGAGGUUAUAUCUAUGAUCAAGUUCUAUAAGUGAAUUCUGUAGAAAACAAAAGCAAAACAUUAAGACACAUGAGUUUUAGAUCAUGUAAGUAUCAGAUGAUUUCCCUAAAGAAAAUAUAUCCUUAUAAUUAUAGAAGAAUAGAAAACUACUGCUUAGAUUUGAAAAAUAUAGUGUACAAAUUUUUUAAAAAGUUUAAAAUGUUAACUGUGAUCUUUCUUGUUUCUAUAAUCAUGGGUUGGACACUAUUAAAGAAAGAAAACUGAUCAGUGGAGCUGGUCUCCCCUAGAUGAUACAAAAAGAAGAGAACCAUUUGCAAACCAGGAAGUGUAUCUCAGUACACACCAGAUCUGAUUCUACUAAAUCUUGUCCUUCCGAGACUUCAGAGCUGUCAGAAAUAAAUUUUAAUUGCUAAAGGCAUCCAC